GUACCUUCCAUGUGCGUCCCUCCUGAAGCUGCACGCUUGGUUGAAGAAGACAAACAUCCCCAAAGAGGAGGUUAUAGGAGUAGCUACGCUCCCCUGCUAGAACCUCCAAACAAGUUCUCAAGUUAUCCAGGGUGGCCUCAAGUUCACAAUUCUCCUAUUCCAGCCUCCCAAGCUGCUAGGAUUA
rnacentral:sRNA from 1 species